rnacentral:rRNA from 1 species
AGUUAUCUGAACCUUCGGGGGACGAUAACGGCGUCGAGCGGCGGACGGGUGAGUAAUGCCUAGGAAAUUGCCCUGAUGUGGGGGAUAACCAUUGGAAACGAUGGCUAAUACCGCAUGAUGCCUACGGGCCAAAGAGGGGGACCUUCGGGCCUCUCGCGUCAGGAUAUGCCUAGGUGGGAUUAGCUAGUUGGUGAGGUAAGGGCUCACCAAGGCGACGAUCCCUAGCUGGUCUGAGAGGAUGAUCAGCCACACUGGAACUGAGACACGGUCCAGACUCCUACGGGAGGCAGCAGUGGGGAAUAUUGCACAAUGGGCGCAAGCCUGAUGCAGCCAUGCCGCGUGUGUGAAGAAGGCCUUCGGGUUGUAAAGCACUUUCAGUCGUGAGGAAGGUAGUGUAGUUAAUAGCUGCAUUAUUUGACGUUAGCGACAGAAGAAGCACCGGCUAACUCCGUGCCAGCAGCCGCGGUAAUACGGAGGGUGCGAGCGUUAAUCGGAAUUACUGGGCGUAAAGCGCAUGCAGGUGGUUUGUUAAGUCAGAUGUGAAAGCCCGGGGCUCAACCUCGGAAUUGCAUUUGAAACUGGCAGACUAGAGUACUGUAGAGGGGGGUAGAAUUUCAGGUGUAGCGGUGAAAUGCGUAGAGAUCUGAAGGAAUACCGGUGGCGAAGGCGGCCCCCUGGACAGAUACUGACACUCAGAUGCGAAAGCGUGGGGAGCAAACAGGAUUAGAUACCCUGGUAGUCCACGCCGUAAACGAUGUCUACUUGGAGGUUGUGGCCUUGAGCCGUGGCUUUCGGAGCUAACGCGUUAAGUAGACCGCCUGGGGAGUACGGUCGCAAGAUUAAAACUCAAAUGAAUUGACGGGGGCCCGCACAAGCGGUGGAGCAUGUGGUUUAAUUCGAUGCAACGCGAAGAACCUUACCUACUCUUGACAUCCAGAGAACUUUCCAGAGAUGGAUUGGUGCCUUCGGGAACUCUGAGACAGGUGCUGCAUGGCUGUCGUCAGCUCGUGUUGUGAAAUGUUGGGUUAAGUCCCGCAACGAGCGCAACCCUUAUCCUUGUUUGCCAGCGAGUAAUGUCGGGAACUCCAGGGAGACUGCCGGUGAUAAACCGGAGGAAGGUGGGGACGACGUCAAGUCAUCAUGGCCCUUACGAGUAGGGCUACACACGUGCUACAAUGGCGCAUACAGAGGGCGGCCAACUUGCGAAAGUGAGCGAAUCCCAAAAAGUGCGUCGUAGUCCGGAUUGGAGUCUGCAACUCGACUCCAUGAAGUCGGAAUCGCUAGUAAUCGUGGAUCAGAAUGCCACGGUGAAUACGUUCCCGGGCCUUGUACACACCGCCCGUCACACCAUGGGAGUGGGCUGCA